GUGCUGCUCUCGAGACCUGCUUUAAAUUUCUCCACGUGGAAAUGGGGAUACAGUAGCUGGAAUCGAGUGUGUUUUCAGCCUCCCCAGGACAUUCUGCACAGGAAGCUGUUCCCAUCUCCUCUGUUUGGCUGCUCCACAACUGUAGGAUUUCCUUUCCUGAGAGAUUCACCAAAGUUUGAACCAGUAUAUUUUGAGGACGAAUUGUAAGACCUUAACUGGAUUAUCUUAAAUAUGGAGCACUAAGAACCAGAGAUAUAGUUUAUUAAAUGUGUAAUUUUACUUUUGCUGGCCUUGUUCUAUCGAUAUUCUAGAACUAGGUCUCAAACACAUGCAGAUGGUUUCGUUUAUCAUCAGUGACAAUGUAAUCUUAAACAUGUCUGCUUAGAAAUAUGUGAGACUGAUUCCAAGUGAUGCAUUUUUACACACACACAUAACAAGUACCUGGGAGUUGGUCCCAUUGAACUCAAUGGUGCUUGCUUAUGAGUGGACACACAUAUAGGACUGAGUGGUUAACAUUUUGAUAUUUUAUGACUUGGAGCCAAACAAAGACAUUAAAUGAAUCUAUUGAAAGUGUUGAAAGAGGUGAUAUGAGGCGAUGUAACAGUUCUGUUUAUGGUGUUGGGUCUGUGAGGGUUUCGUUCAUUCAGGUUAUCAAGCGAUGAAAAUACAUUAGUCAACUAGCCCUUACUUGAGUUGCUCACCUGAAACCAAUAUGGAACAGGUCAGAAACAUAAAUCAUUACACAUGAAACUAAAUAACUAGCCAUCACCAAGUAUGCCCAUGUUCUAAGUAAUGCAUCCUUGCCCUAUAAAACAAAUAUAAAAUCAUACCCCUUCAUGCAUAAAGCUACCACCUAAAAACUCAAGUUUAUAGGCCAUAUUCUCAAAUGCCUGUUGUUUUACUAUAGGUACAGAUUGAUGGUGUAUACGGAAUUUGUCCCUGAUACUGAACUGGUUGUUCAUGUUUUACACCGUGUCAUCUUUGGGACCAGCCACCUCUGAUUCUAACUUUCCUUGCAUAUUCUGUUUAUGACAUUCUGUAAAUGUUGACAUUUUGGGGUCAAUAUAUUUUGCAAAAUAAAAACAAGUAGAUGUGGUAGUUACAUGUGAAAACAAAACAAAUAUUGUAUGUGAUAUGUGUGCAUAUUUUAUGGGGCAAAAGGAAAUAUUUUUGAAGCUAAUUUCAGAAAUGAUUUGAGACAUGCCACUGAGCCACAAAUAAAUUAUAUUUAAAAUUA